AAGCGAAAACUGGAAUCUGCCAGACUUAGUGUCCUGCAAGAGCAGAAACAUGUACAACUCAUGUACCACAGCACAGGCAUUGAAAUUAUUCAUGAUUGAAGAUGGGGAGAAGAAACAAACAGCACAUGCUGAAUGCUGGGGAGACAAUACUCAGACCAUGGCAUUCGCUAGCUGAUGCAAGAACAGAUCCAAAUUGAAGUGCAUGGAGAUCUACGGACAAUAACCUUUUCAUCAAACAUGAAGAGCUGCAUGUCUUUUUGCUUCAAAUAGUCUUAUCCUUAGGCAAUGGUGACGUUAAUGAGGCCUGUGGACAUGACAGGAGAGAGGACACCGCAGAUUCUUCAGGUUUGUAAAUCUCAUCCCUCUAGCAAGCCCCUGAAAUAUUGGAUCCGAGAGGCAGUCCUAAUGUUUUACCAGGUACUGUAAGCAGCGCGGCAAAAUGAUUAAUGAGACCUGGCCCUAGCUUUGUCAAAGCCAGAUCUGUUGGGCUGCCCAGUUUCUUCUUUUUUGGAAUAUUCUGCUCAGCAGCAUGUUGCCGUACAGACUCAUCAGCAAAUGAGUAGCAGAUGGAGCAGUGACACAUUUUAUCUUGCAGCAGCAGGGACAUUGUAUGUGCUAGGAGCUUUCAAGAAGUUAGUUUCAUGUGCAGUAUGUGAUUGAAAAAAAAAAGAAAAAGCUGCUGAUAGUUUUUUUCUCUGCAAAAUUGCAGAUGGACAAACAGAGAGGAAGGCAGUUGUCUCCAGGGUUGCAAGGCAGUAACAAGAAUCAAAUGUUCAAGAAGUUAAAAUUAAAACCAUUGCCAUGGCAAAAACAUGCAUCUCUUCAUCCUGUGCCCAACUGAUGCACCAUGGAUUAGUUUUUGUUUCAGGUAGUAUCCUGUCAGUGAGGGCUUUACAAGUUGGUAGGUAGAGUUACUGCUCUUUGAAUGCCGGGUGCUUCCUGUCGUGAGAGCAGUUGCAGUUAUCCAUAUCUUAGGCCUUGUAUAAAUUGAUUCUUCCACCCCUCCUAAUACGUAGCAGAUGAGACAUUGUAAAGGAAAUUUGAAAAGGAAUCUGAGCUGAGAUUAAGUUUCGGGAUUGUUUGAUUUCUGGGCUCUGCUGAUGCAUACUUCUUCU
rnacentral:lncRNA from 1 species